rnacentral:rRNA from 1 species
UACGUAGGGAGCAAGCGUUGUCCGGAAUCACUGGGCGUAAAGGGCGCGUAGGCGGCCUGAUAAGUAGGGGGUGAAAUCCUGUGGCUUAACUGCAGGGCUGCCUCCUAGACUGUUAGGCUCGAGCACGGUAGAGGCAGAUGGAAUUCCCGGUGUAGCGGUGGAAUGCGUAGAGAUCGGGAAGAACAUCGGUGGCGAAGGCGGUCUGCUGGGCCGUUGCUGACGCUGAGGCGCGACAGCGUGGGGAGCAAACAGG